UAAAAAGAUACAUUUCAUAUAGCUGAUCACAUUAUACAAUAUUCUCUUUUGACAAUGGGGAACUUUUGGUAUAAGCCAAAAGAAUCUUUGUGCACCCCCACUGGGUUUUCCGAUUAAUUGAAUAGCUGCAGCAGGAGUGAUUAUUUAAGUUGAGUUUUUCUUUGCUUUCGGUUAAAUACAUGGUACCUGCAGAAGCAUUUUGUGUUGUGUGUAUUCAUUAAUUACUGCCCAUCAGCUCCAGUAGCAUUCCUAAAUCUUCUGAUUAAUAAUAACCUGAUAUUUCAUUCAAUACCUAGCCUGUAUUAAUUCAUUAGCGCUUCAUCAGUGUUACACAAGGAGCAGACGGCUGAGUUUAUUAAACUCCACCGAGACAGCGGUGACACAAAUCUGAAGGCCAGACCGUCACAGCCGCUCACUUCCGGCCUACCCGACCUUUGGAGGACCCGGCCCACGUAGACCUUGAAGGCCGGGUCCUCAGGAGGAUGCCGCCUGUGAAUUUGGACACGCCAUGACACAUGAUGUUCUACACCUGAUGUGUUUAAAUGAGCUCUACAGGUGAACAGACUUAUUAACGUUAGCAGCAUAGUAAACUGUCCUGUGACUGAAGGCCCAACAAGGACGUGGUGCUGAAUGCAUCCAGACCCCUGCUGACUGUCUUUGCAGCUUCGGUCACAGGUACAGUGUCCAUGUGACCCUGAGAGCAGGAUACAGCCAGAGGUGAGUCAGCAGUUACAAACUAAAUGCUGCUGACAUGAAUCAAACAGCUGGAUAACCCACUGGUCAUGAAAACGGCACCUUUCUGUCAAUCAGUCAAAUCCAGAGAUUGUGACUCUGAUGGUCAAAGACCAAGAGGGGACAGAAACCUGGAAAUCAUCUGUUUACCUGCAGGUCAGCGUCCUGUUACAUGUCUGUUAUCUUUGUUCCUUCAGCACCAAGAACAGAAACCUUAAUGAGGAGUGUCCCAGCUGAGGCCCGAGUCCCAGCAGCUGAGAGGCUGCUCACAGUUCGCUCACAGUUUAUUGAAAGAGUGUCUGAACCUGUUUUAAACCAACAUCUGGAUAAACUCCUGCAGCAGCGUGUUAUCAAUGAUCAGGAGAUGGAAUCAGUCAGAUCACAGCAGAUAAAGCACGAGACGUGAUGGACACGAGGAAGUGAAGCCAGCUCACUGCUGAUCGCUGCUCUGUGAGGAGGAUCGAUGCCUUUCCACAGAGCUGAACCUGGAUGAAGACAGACUUGGAAAGAGUCUGUGGAGCUGUGACCAUCAAUCUCAAAGACCACUGACAGAGUCAUUGUGAUCUUCAUGUGACGUGUUUUUAAACUGCACUUUAGUUCUGAAAGUGUCUCUCGUUAAAACCUGGACUCUGAUUAGAUGCUGAGCAGGACAUUGGAUGGACUGAAGCAGAGUCUGGGACCUCAGUAAUUAUUAGUGCACAAACCAGCAAAUAUGUGAAGCUCCAUUAAUGCUGAACCACAUCUACAGGUUGAAGAGCAACAGCUCAGGUUAUCUGGGACCAGCGUCAGUUUCCACCAAUAUAACUGAAGCUGUUUCUACCUGUAAUGCUGGAAUAACCUAUUGAAUCACAUGAUCAGUAUUUACUGAGGUUUAAACUCUCCUCUGUGCUUCUGCUUUGAGCAGCACGUUGUGCUUCUGCCUGUUUAAAUAAAGUUUUGCUGCCUGCUUUCUUA